rnacentral:rRNA from 1 species
AGUGAACGCUGGCGGUAGGCCUAACACAUGCAAGUCGAACGGCAGCACAGUAAGAGCUUGCUCUUACGGGUGGCGAGUGGCGGACGGUUGAGGAAUACAUCGGAAUCUACUUUUUCGUGGGUGAGAACGUAGGGAAACUUACGCUAAUACCGCAUACGGCCUACGGGUGAAAGCAUGGGAUCUUCGGACCUUGCGCGAUUGAAUGAGCCGAUGUCGGAUUAGCUAGUUGGCGGGGUAAAGGCCCACCAAGGCGACGAUCCGUAGCUGGUCUGAGAGGAUGAUCAGCCACACUGGAACUGAGACACGGUCCAGACUCCUACGGGAGGCAGCAGUGGGGAAUAUUGGACAAUGGGCGCAAGCCUGAUCCAGCCAUACCGCGUGGGUGAAGAAGGCCUUCGGGUUGUAAAGCCCUUUUGUUGGGAAAGAAAAGCAGCAGGUUAAUACCCCGCUGUUCUGACGGUACCAAAAGAAUAAGCACCGGCUAACUUCGUG